rnacentral:rRNA from 1 species
CAGUCGCCGCGGUAAUACGUAGGUGGCAAGCGUUGUCCGGAUUUAUUGGGCGUAAAGCGAGCGCAGGCGGUCAAUUAAGUCUGAUGUGGAAGCCCCCGGCUCAACCGGGGAGGGUCAUUGGAAACUGGUUGACUUGAGUGCAGAAGAGGAGAGUGGAAUUCCAUGUGUAGCGGUGAAAUGCGUAGAUAUAUGGAGGAACACCAGUGGCGAAGGCGACUCUCUGGUCUGUAACUGACGCUGAGGCUCGAAAGCGUGGGUAGCAAACAGGAUUAGAUACCCGCGUAGUCCCUGUCUCUUAUAC